rnacentral:rRNA from 1 species
AUACGUAGGGGGCAAGCGUUACCCGGAUUUACUGGGUGUAAAGGGAGCGUAGACGGAAGGCCAAGUCUGAUGUGAAAGCCCGCGGCUCAACUGCGGGCCUGCAUUGGAAACUGGUCAUCUGGAGUGCAGGAGGGGUAAGCGGAAUUCCUAGUGUAGCGGUGAAAUGCGUAGAUAUUAGGAGGAACACCGGUGGCGAAGGCGGCUUACUGGCCUGUAACUGACGUUGAGGCUCGAAUGCGUGGGGAGCAAACAGGAUUAGAUUCCCUGGUAGUCCACGCCGUAAACGAUGAAUACUAGGUGUAGGGUUUCUAUAGAGAUUCGGUGCCGCAGCAAACGCAAUAAGUAUUCCACCUGGGGAGUACGUUCGCAAGAAUGAAACUCAAAUGAAUUGACGGGG